rnacentral:rRNA from 1 species
CCGCGAUAUAAGGCACAUAAUGCGCCGCUGGUUUUGCCCCCCCCUAGAGUAUGAAUCCUGGCUCAGAUUGAACGCUGGCGGCAGGCCUAACACAUGCAAGUCGAGCGGAUGAAGGGAGCUUGCUCCUGGAUUCAGCGGCGGACGGGUGAGUAAUGCCUAGGAAUCUGCCUGGUAGUGGGGGAUAACGUCCGGAAACGGGCGCUAAUACCGCAUACGUCCUGAGGGAGAAAGUGGGGGAUCUUCGGACCUCACGCUAUCAGAUGAGCCUAGGUCGGAUUAGCUAGUUGGUGGGGUAAAGGCCUACCAAGGCGACGAUCCGUAACUGGUCUGAGAGGAUGAUCAGUCACACUGGAACUGAGACACGGUCCAGACUCCUACGGGAGGCAGCAGUGGGGAAUAUUGGACAAUGGGCGAAAGCCUGAUCCAGCCAUGCCGCGUGUGUGAAGAAGGUCUUCGGAUUGUAAAGCACUUUAAGUUGGGAGGAAGGGCAGUAAGUUAAUACCUUGCUGUUUUGACGUUACCAACAGAAUAAGCACCGGCUAACUUCGUGCCAGCAGCCGCGGUAAUACGAAGGGUGCAAGCGUUAAUCGGAAUUACUGGGCGUAAAGCGCGCGUAGGUGGUUCAGCAAGUUGGAUGUGAAAUCCCCGGGCUCAACCUGGGAACUGCAUCCAAAACUACUGAGCUAGAGUACGGUAGAGGGUGGUGGAAUUUCCUGUGUAGCGGUGAAAUGCGUAGAUAUAGGAAGGAACACCAGUGGCGAAGGCGACCACCUGGACUGAUACUGACACUGAGGUGCGAAAGCGUGGGGAGCAAACAGGAUUAGAUACCCUGGUAGUCCACGCCGUAAACGAUGUCGACUAGCCGUUGGGAUCCUUGAGAUCUUAGUGGCGCAGCUAACGCGAUAAGUCGACCGCCCUGGGAGUCCCAACC